GGGCGGUUAGCUCAGUUGGUAGAGCGCGUGCCUAGCAUGCACGAGGCCGGGGGUUCAACUCCCUCAUCGUCCA
rnacentral:tRNA from 1 species